GACGAACGCUGGCGGCGUGCUUAACAAAUGCAAGUCGAACGAAGUGGCGAACGGGUGAGUAACGAGUAAGCAACCUGCCCUUCAGAGGGGGACAACAGUUUGAACAGACGGCUAAUACCGCAUACUGAAGGAGGGGAGUGGGUCUGAUUGGGUAGUUGGGGGGGGAAAGGCCCACCAAGGCGAGGAUCAGGGGCCCGUCUGAGAGGAGGAACGGCCACAUUGGGACUGAGACACGGCCCAGACUCCUACGGGAGGCAGCAGUGGGGAAUCUUCCGCAAUGGACGAAAGUCUGACGGAGCAACGCCGCGUGAGUGAUGACGGCCUUCGGGUUGUAAAGCUCUGUUAAUCGGGACGCGGUACCGGAAUAGAAAGCCACGGCUAACUACGUGCCAGCAGCCGCGGUAAUUC
rnacentral:rRNA from 1 species